CCUACGGGAGACAGCAGUGAGGAAUAUUGGUCAAUGGACGAGAGUCUGAACCAGCCAAGUAGCGUGAAGGAUGACUGCCCUAUGGGUUGUAAACUUCUUUUAUAUGGGAAUAAAAUGUUCCACGUGUGGGAUUUUGUAUGUACCAUAUGAAUAAGGAUCGGCUAACUCCGUGCCAGCAGCCGCGGUAAUACGGAUGAGCCGAGCGUUAUCCGGAUUUAUUGGGUUUAAAGGGAGCGUAGGUGGAUUGUUAAGUCAGUUGUGAAAGUUUGCGGCUCAACCGUAAAAUUGCAGUUGAAACUGGCAGUCUUGAGUACAGUAGAGGUGGGCGGAAUUCGUGGUGUAGCGGUGAAAUGCUUAGAUAUCACGAAGAACUCCGAUUGCGAAGGCAGUUCACUGGACUGCAACUGACACUGAGGCUCGAAAGUGUGGGUAUCAAACAGGAUUAGAUACCCGGGUAGUC
rnacentral:rRNA from 1 species